rnacentral:lncRNA from 1 species
GUAUUCAAGCUCGUCAACACACCCUCAAUGAUAGUCAAGCUCGUCAACACACCCUCAAGGAUUAUUCAAGCUCGUUACACCUUCAAGGGUAGUCAAGCUCGUCAACACACCCUCAAUGGUAGUCAAGCUCGUCAACACACCCUCAAGGAUUUUUCAAGCUCGUUACACCUUCAAGGGUAGUCAAGCUCGUCAACACACCCUCAAAGGUAGUCAAGUUCGUUAACACAUCGUAGUAGUUGUUAUCUGUAGGACAUCUUGUUUGAAAAUUUUGCAAUUACUUUUCGUUGUUUUAAAUUGAAUGAUUUUAGAUUCAAUCCAUGGUUUCAAAUAUGUAAUUGUUGUAGCAGUACAGAUAUUUUUUUAUUCUGAGAUACAACUUAAGCUCUAACUAAACUGUUGAAACUUUUGACAGUUCGAUCUCCAUAUCUUAUAAAGCGGAGCUUAGCACUUCUCCCAAUAACAUCAGUGCAAUAUUUGUAUCAUAAAGAGAUCCUGAAAACUUCACCCGGUAAUGAACUACGUAUGUAACUCCAUGCAUUGUCAAUUGUAAAAAUUGCAAAUAAUAAAGCAUUAUACUUUUAUUCAAUAAAUAUUUUUCUAUAACAAGUUUACAGUUGUAAAUAAAUGUUAGAAAUUUGGUGGUCUAUUGUAUGGUGGCAUUCUUAAAAUUGUAUGUGAAUCAUACAGAACGGAGAUCCUUUAUUGAAACGAAUUUCUAUACAGACUUCUUAUAAAAUCAAUAAAUG